CGAAGAACGAGCCCCUGGGCAUGAUGUGAGCCUUAAUAAAGGAGCAGAAAUCAGACCAAAAACAAACUGAAUGAGGACAACUCCAAAAUAAAUGAUAAAAUGUUUCAUCAUGUAGACCACAAAAUGUACAAAAUGUAUCAAUAUCACAAUUAAAUCUGGUCACAAGA